rnacentral:lncRNA from 1 species
CGAGCCUCCCCAACGAGCGCCACCUCCUGCUCCACGGCGCCCAGUCCCAUCGACCACGCAAGGGCUGAGGAAUGCGAGCGCCCGGCACAGGACUGGCAGGCAGCUCCACCUGCAGCCCCAGUGCAGGAUCCACUAGGUGAAGCCAGCUGGGCUCCUGAGUCUGGUGGGGACGUGGAGAGUCUUUAUAUCUAGCUCAGGGAUUGUAAAUACACCAAUCAGCACCCUGUGUUUAGCUCAAGGUUUGUGAGUGCACCAGUCGACACUCUGUAUCUAGCUGCUGUGGUGAGACGUGGAGAGUCUUUAUGUCUAGCUCAAGGAUUGUAAAUACACCAAUCAGCACUCUGUGUCUAGCUCAAGGAUUGUAAAUACACCAAUCGGCACUCUGUAUCUAGCUCAAGGUUUGUAAACACACCAAUCAGCACCCUGUGUUUAGCUCAAGGUUUGUGAGUGCACCAAUCGACACUCUGUAUCUAGCUGCUCUGAUGGGGACGUGGAGAACCUUUGUAUCUAGCUCAGGGAUUGUAAACGCACCAAUCAGCGCCCUGAUGAAACAGGCCACUCGGCUCUACCAAUCAGCAGGAUGUGGGUGGGGCCAGAUAAGAGAAUAAAAGCAGGCUGCCCGAGCCAGCAUUGGCAACCCGCUCGGGUCCACUUCCACACUGUGGAAGCUUUGUUCUUUCGCUCUUUGCAAUAAAUCUUGCUACCGCUCACUCUUUGGGUCCACGCUGCUUUUAUGAGCUGUAACACUCACCGCGAAGAUCUGCAGCUUCACUCCUGAGCCCAGCGAGACCACGAGCCCACCGGGAGGAACGAACAACUCCAGACACGCCACCUUAAGAGCUGUAACACUCACCGCGAGGGUCCACGGCUUCAUUCUUGAAGUCAGUGAGACCAAGAACCCACCAAUUCUGGACACAAGACUAUGAGGGACUUUAUUAUUCUUACUUCAAGACCAUUAUUGAAGCACCUUCAUUUUUGGGAGGACUGUGGAUGAUUAUGAAUGACAGGCUUACUGAAUAUCCUCUUGUAAUUAAUGCAGUAAAACGCUUCCAUAUUUAUCCAGAGGUGAGUCGUAAUUUGAGACAAAUAAUAUUUGUAGAGUGAUCCUCUUUGUCAGAUAAAAAUAGUAAGCACAAUCUUGUUAAGAAAGGGAGGGGACGUUUCAGGUUUAUUAAUUGUAUGUAUCCUUAUAGUUGAGUAGAAUAUCAUAAGUUCCUCUUAAAAUUUAAAGACCCCAGAAACAGUUCUCUCAUGAACUCGAAGAAUGAACCUUAGUGUGUAAAUAAUGGCCAGGGUAAUAGACAAGCCAAAUGGAAAAGAGGGUCAUGGGAGCCAAAAAGUUCUAAAUAGGGAUAGGGAUGGGCUUUUGGCCUUGGACACCUCGUGGGUGAGCACGAUGACCACGUGAAGGGACAGUGAGAGUGAUGAGCUUGAAUAGUGAUCUUGGAGUUACAUUAGUAAAGUAAGAUUUAUUUAGUCACACAGCCAGAAAUCUAUUACUAUUUUCCAACACUUAGCCUAAAAGAGUAUGGUUGUUAUAGUAGUCUGUAAAUGCUAGAAAUUUGAAAAACGGAGACAAAAUUAGUGAACUCACUUUGUGAACUCAAGAUAAAUGCUAAAUUUGACACCAUGGUAAAUACUACUGUUGAGUUUAAAGUUGUCUCAGAAUCCAGCAUAUUAAUGAAAAGUUACUGCUUUCUAGUCCUUUAUUCAUAUUUUUAUAGCUUUUAAAAAUUAUUAUUCUUUAGAUUUUGAAAUGCUUAAAACUACAGACUUAGAAAAUAAUAUUCAAAUAUGUGUGAUCAACCAUCUAAAAUAAAUAAAUGCUAAUCUUUGUCAUUUUUGCAUCAGCUAUUUUAAAAUAAUUAAAAUAUUAUAAAUACAGUUAAAAUCACCUUUGUUCUGCUCCUAGUCCAACUUACACCUUUAUUAAAAUUUGGUGUGCGUAUCCAUCCAAUCUCUGUUUUCAGAGAUUGUUUUAUUAUAUGCUUUAAGUCCACAUAAAUGAUCUCAUACUGAAUGUGUCAC